UCGGGAAUAUUGGUCAAUGGGGGAAACCCUGAACCAGCAACUCCGCGUGAGGGAUGAAGGCCCUCGGGUCGUAAACCUCUGUCAGAAGGGAAGAACUCCCCCAAUUCAAAUAGGUUUGGGGGCUGACGGUACC
rnacentral:rRNA from 1 species